rnacentral:rRNA from 2 species
UCUAUAAUGCAGUCGAGCGAAUCUGAGGGAGCUUGCUCCCAAAGAUUAGCGGCGGACGGGUGAGUAACACGUGGGCAACCUGCCUGUAAGACUGGGAUAACUCCGGGAAACCGGGGCUAAUACCGGAUAAUAUCUAUUUAUACAUAUAAUUAGAUUGAAAGAUGGUUCUGCUAUCACUUACAGAUGGGCCCGCGGCGCAUUAGCUAGUUGGUGAGGUAACGGCUCACCAAGGCGACGAUGCGUAGCCGACCUGAGAGGGUGAUCGGCCACACUGGGACUGAGACACGGCCCAGACUCCUACGGGAGGCAGCAGUAGGGAAUCUUCCGCAAUGGACGAAAGUCUGACGGAGCAACGCCGCGUGAGUGAUGAAGGUUUUCGGAUCGUAAAACUCUGUUGUUAGGGAAGAACAAGUACCGGAGUAACUGCCGGUACCUUGACGGUACCUAACCAGAAAGCCACGGCUAACUACGUGCCAGCAGCCGCGGUAAUACGUAGGUGGCAAGCGUUGUCCGGAAUUAUUGGGCGUAAAGCGCGCGCAGGCGGUUCCUUAAGUCUGAUGUGAAAGCCCACGGCUCAACCGUGGAGGGUCAUUGGAAACUGGGGAACUUGAGUGCAGAAGAGGAAAGUGGAAUUCCAAGUGUAGCGGUGAAAUGCGUAGAGAUUUGGAGGAACACCAGUGGCGAAGGCGACUUUCUGGUCUGUAACUGACGCUGAGGCGCGAAAGCGUGGGGAGCAAACAGGAUUAGUACCU